CUGUAUUCAGAGCUUGGUUUAUACCACUUUGGUUCCAAAUAUAUCUGGAUAAAAUGCUGAUUUCCUCUUUUGAGAAUAUACCUGACAAGGAUCAGAUUCAUGUAACAAGAGGCAGCCUUAAGUGCCUUGAAACAAUUUUCUGAACAAGGACUGGAUCCAAUCGAUGGAGCAAUGAAUAUCGAAAAAGGUUCUCUUGAAAAACAAGCCAAGCAUCUGAGAGAGAAAGCGGACAAUAACCAGGCACCCCCGGGCUCCAUCGCUCAGGACUGCAAGAAAUCAAACUCGGCCGUCUAGCAGCUCCCAGAACCCGCGGCUGCCACCGCAUCCUUAUAAACCUGUCAGCACGCAUGAGGGUGUCUGUGUUCAGGGAAAUGAAUGACUAAUACCAUUAUUUGAGUCUUAUGUGAAGACAACACUAUUCUAACACGAGAGAUAAUAUACAUGGUACUGUUUAUUCAACUGGGGAAAAAUAAAACUUUGAGCAUUUCCCUUGGAACUCGAGAUCAGAUCAUAACUCAUUUGCCUAGAGGCAGCAGAAAUCUGAUCCUGCUACUGGAGCUUAAAAUAACAAGUAAAGAAAAGUGUUAGAAACAAAGCUAAAAUUUUAACAUGAUUAAUAAUAGAGAAGUUGGGUUUGGUUCUGUUGUUAUGAUUGUUUUGUCGUGGUGCUUGUGUUCAGUUAUAUUCUCUCUCUCUCUCAUUUCAAA
rnacentral:lncRNA from 1 species